AACGAACGCUGGCGGCAGGCCUAACACAUGCAAGUCGAGCGGACCCUUCGGGGUUAGCGGCGGACGGGUGAGUAACGCGUGGGAAUAUGCCCUUCUCUACGGAAUAGUCCUGGGAAACUGGGGGUAAUACCGUAAACGCCCUUUGGGGGAAAGAUUUAUCGGGGAAGAAUUAGCCCGCGUUGGAUUAGGUAGUUGGUGGGGUAAUGGCCUACCAAGCCGACGAUCCAUAGCAGGUUUGAGAGGAUGAUCAGCCACACUGGGACUGAGACACGGCCCAGACUCCUACGGGAGGCAGCAGUGGGGAAUCUUAGACAAUGGGGGCAACCCUGAUCCAGCCAUGCCGCGUGAGUGAUGAAGGCCUUAGGGUUGUAAAGCUCUUUCAGCUGGGAAGAUAAUGACGGUACCAGCAGAAGAAGCCCCGGCUAACUCCGUG
rnacentral:rRNA from 1 species